rnacentral:ncRNA from 1 species
AGCAUUGCGGGAGAGCACAGGCAGUUUCGGCCUGUCACCGAAGGCGCAACCCACCCGGAAACGCUCAGGUAAAAGGACCGCGAU